UUAUGGCCAUAUCAUGAUGAAACACCGAUUCUCAUAUGAUCAUUGAGGUUAAGCAACAUUGAGACUGGUCAGUACCUAGAUGGGUGACUGUUUGGGAAUACUAGAUACUGUA